GAGCUUUUUCGACCAAACCGACGCGUUCCGGCGUCAACAACCACCACCACCAAAUGGUAGCUCUCUUCGUUCUCUACGCCGUAGUGUCUUUCUUUUCAUCAAUUCGUCACCGUUUGACCAUUCCCCUUCGUUUUCGUUUUUCCGGUGAGCUUCACGGCGAGCUCCUCCAUGGACGCAUUGAAGCUUCUUAGUUUCCGACUGAACCAGAUCCUCCGGGCUCGCGCCGCGCCAGACCCGGCCCCGCGACGCCUCCAACCCGCACCCCUGGCCCCUGUGCACCGCCGCCUCCCGACGCCGUUCCUCCCGCGGCUGUGCACGGCCGGCAGCAGCUGCUGCUCCGACCCGAACCGGCUGCCCGCCGGCUGUGCCCCACGCGCGGCUGUGCGCAGCCCCGCUGGCGCUGCCGGUCCCCAAGCCCGGCCGGUUGCUGCCCCAGCUCGAGGCCCCUCUCUUCCCCCAUCAUGCACAGCAAGUCCCCAUGGCUGUGGUACGGGAGCUCAAGGAUGAAGAUGAGAAAGGAACGCAGUUCAAGAGCUCUGAAUGUUAAGAGAUGGAAGAAUAAGUGUUGAAAACUUUGAGCAGUUAUUCUUUAGAAUGAAGAAUGGAGGCAAGUAUAUUCCUUGAUCAUACUUUAGUCCUAAUAACCUUUAUUUAUUUUAUGCUUGCACGCAUUAACUUGAUGGGUUCCUACUUUGUCCGUAUUUAUUUAUUUAUUUUACGCUUGCACGCAUUAACUUGACGGGUUCCUACUUUAUCCCUGUUUACGAUCCAUGUCCUUGGAGCCGGGUUAUUUAUUUAAACAAUGGGUAGUUUGCUUAGUUGCUAAACUAUGAUUACAGGUAGUUUAUGAAAACAACACUUAUACAUGAUUUACAUUUUUUGGAAACACUAUGAUGAACUGAUGAUGAUAAUUAAUUUAAAUUCAUGGAGCGACCAUCCAGAAAAAUAAUGCAACCACAAAAACUAUAUCGCUCUAGUCUUAGCUAAAUAAUUAGAUGUCUCUAUCUUGUUAGCAGUCGUUUCAACAUAAGAGGGGGGACUGUGAUGAGGUGUUUGCUACUUGCCAAGGGUGUACGCAUGGCUAUGAUCACGACUUGGGGGAGGUUCACACACGCAGCAGCUGAAAUCUUAGCAGGCUACUAACUUGUUGGAGCAUCUUUGGAAAGGCUUCAUAACUAAUCCCUGCCACUCACCUCGGAAGUGUUUAAGAGGCUAGCUACCUCGGGUAUCAAGAGGGAGACAUGACUUGUGGAUAAAAUGUACAACCUCUGUAGAGUGUAAAACUGAUAUAUCAGCCGUGCUUACAUUCAAGAGCGGCUCGAACCCUCACAUGACUUAAUUAAAUUGAAUCUGUGUUUAAUUCA